rnacentral:sRNA from 1 species
GCUGGGCACAGUGGUGCGUGCCUAUAAUCCCAGCAGCUUGGAGACUGAAGCAGGAGGAUCGUGAGUUGAAAGCCAGCCUCAACAAAAGCGAGGCACUAAACAACUCGAUGAGACCCUGUCUCUA